rnacentral:rRNA from 1 species
AUUGAACGCUGGCGGCAUGCCUUACACAUGCAAGUCGAACGGCAGCACGGGUGCUUGCACCUGGUGGCGAGUGGCGAACGGGUGAGUAAUACAUCGGAACGUACCCUAUCGUGGGGGAUAACGCAGCGAAAGCUGUGCUAAUACCGCAUACGCCCUGAGGGGGAAAGCGGGGGAUCGAAAGACCUCGCGCGAUUAGAGCGGCCGAUGCCUGAUUAGCUUGUUGGUGGGGUAAAAGCCCACCAAGGCGACGAUCAGUAGCUGGUCUGAGAGGACGAUCAGCCACACUGGGACUGAGACACGGCCCAGACUCCUACGGGAGGCAGCAGUGGGGAAUUUUGGACAAUGGGGGCAACCCUGAUCCAGCAAUGCCGCGUGAGUGAAGAAGGCCUUCGGGUUGUAAAGCUCUUUUGUCAGGGAAGAAACACCGGCUCUAACACAGUCGGGGAAUGGCGGUACCUGAAGAAUAAGCACCGGCUAACUACGUGCCAGCCGCCGCAGUAA